UACGGAGGGAGCUAGCGUUAUUCGGAAUUAUUGGGCGUAAAGAGCUCGUAGGCGGUUUGUCGCGUCGAAUGUGAAAACCCGGGGCUCAACCCCGGGCCUGCAUUCGAUACGGGCAGACUAGAGUUCGGUAGGGGAGUCUGGAAUUCCUGGUGUAGCGGUGAAAUGCGCCAGAUAUCAGGAGGAACACCGGUGGCGAAGGCGGGACUCUGGGCCGAUACUGACGCUGAGGAGCGAAAGCGUGGGGAGCAAACAGG
rnacentral:rRNA from 1 species